GUCCCCCAGGGGUGCAAUGGGUCAGUAUGCCUGGCUAUUAACCAGAAGGUUGGUGGUUCGAGCCCUCCCAGGGAUG